UACGAAGGGUGCAAGCGUUACUCGGAAUUACUGGGCGUAAAGCGUGCGUAGGUGGUCGUUUAAGUCUGUCGUGAAAGCCCUGGGCUCAACCUGGGAAUUGCGAUGGAUACUGGGCGACUAGAGUGUGGUAGAGGAUAGUGGAAUUUCCGGUGUAGCAGUGAAAUGCGUAGAGAUCGGAAGGAACAUCUGUGGCGAAGGCAGCCCCCUGGGCCAACACUGACGCUCAGGCACGAAAGCGUGGGGAGCAAACAGG
rnacentral:rRNA from 1 species